AAAAAGAUAAGCUAAAUUCAAGCUCAUGGGUUCAUACCCCAUUUAUAGAGAAACCUCUUCUUUUUA
rnacentral:tRNA from 1 species